GUCAGGGCUAUCUGGCUGCGACAUCUGUCACCCCAUUGAUCACCAGAGUUGAUUUGGCUAAUCUGGCUGGCUAGGCGGGUGUCUCCUUCCUACCUCACCACUCCAUGUGCAUCCGUCCUGAAGCUACGUGCUCCAUUGAAGAGGACAGUCUUCCCUGAAUAGAGAUGGACUGAUCUUGGGUCGAAGGUAUACAAGUAGCCGCACUCCCCUGCUAGAACCUCCAAACAAGCUCUAGAGAAAAAUUAAGAUAGUUUAUUAUUAAUUUAAACUAUAUUCAGUAUAGUCUUAAUUUCUAGUUUAU
rnacentral:snRNA from 1 species